UUUUAAAAUUUUGAUCUCAAG
rnacentral:piRNA from 1 species